rnacentral:rRNA from 1 species
AUCCCCGGGCUCAACCUGGGAACUGCAUUCGAAACUGGCAGGCUAGAGUCUUGUAGAGGGGGGUAGAAUUCCAGGUGUAGCGGUGAAAUGCGUAGAGAUCUGGAGGAAUACCGGUGGCGAAGGCGGCCCCCUGGACAAAGACUGACGCUCAGGUGCGAAAGCGUGGGGAGCAAACAGGAUUAGAUACCCUGGUAGUCCACGCCGUAAACGAUGUCGAUUUGGAGGUUGUGCCCUUGAGGCGUGGCUUCCGGAGCUAACGCGUUAAAUCGACCGCCUGGGGAGUACGGCCGCAAGGUUAAAACUCAAAUGAAUUGACGGGGGCCCGCACAAGCGGUGGAGCAUGUGGUUUAAUUCGAUGCAACGCGAAGAACCUUACCUGGUCUUGACAUCCACAGAACUUUCCAGAGAUGGAUUGGUGCCUUCGGGAACUGUGAGACAGGUGCUGCAUGGCUGUCGUCAGCUCGUGUUGUGAAAUGUUGGGUUAAGUCCCGCAACGAGCGCAACCC